rnacentral:rRNA from 1 species
GAUGAACGCCGGCGGUGUGCCUAAUACAUGCAAGUCGAACGCGUUGGCCCAAUUGAUUGACGGUGCUUGCACCUGAUUGAUUUUGGUCGCCAACGAGUGGCGGACGGGUGAGUAACACGUAGGUAACCUGCCCAGAAGCGGGGGACAACAUUUGGAAACAGAUGCUAAUACCGCAUAACAACGUUGUUCGCAUGAACAACGCUUAAAAGAUGGCUUCUCGCUAUCACUUCUGGAUGGACCUGCGGUGCAUUAGCUUGUUGGUGGGGUAACGGCCUACCAAGGCGAUGAUGCAUAGCCGAGUUGAGAGACUGAUCGGCCACAAUGGGACUGAGACACGGCCCAUACUCCUACGGGAGGCAGCAGUAGGGAAUCUUCCACAAUGGGCGCAAGCCUGAUGGAGCAACACCGCGUGAGUGAAGAAGGGUUUCGGCUCGUAAAGCUCUGUUGUUAAAGAAGAACACGUAUGAGAGUAACUGUUCAUACGUUGACGGUAUUUAACCAGAAAGUCACGGCUAACUACGUGCCAGCAGCCGCGGUAAUACGUAGGUGGCAAGCGUUGUCCGGAAUUAUUGGGCGUAAAGCGCGCGCAGGUGGUUUAAUAAGUCUGAUGUGAAAGCCCACGGCUCAACCGUGGAGGGUCAUUGGAAACUGUUAAACUUGAGUGCAGGAGAGAAAAGUGGAAUUCCUAGUGUAGCGGUGAAAUGCGUAGAGAUUAGGAGGAACACCAGUGGCGAAGGCGGCUUUUUGGCCUGUAACUGACACUGAGGCGCGAAAGCGUGGGGAGCAAACAGG